rnacentral:lncRNA from 1 species
UCUUCUUUUGUACAGCUUCCUCACCAAACGAACGAACGGUAAGCAGGCAAGCAAGCUGGCUGAUGUUUUCGCCGAGCGAUCAUCUCCCCCCUCCACCCCCAUUCGACGACAACGGCCCCCACGUAAGUCGACCAAUCGUUCUCUUCUCUUUCGACCGACCUUCCCUCCCAUCCCUCUAACGGCCGUCCGUAGAAGACUUCGGUCCGAUACACGGCGCCAGUUCGAACCGAGAGUCCAAAUUCGAUAAAAAUAAUUAAAUUCCGUAAGCAAAUUUCGCGCGAUUUAUAAAUUUGACAAGAUGACUGAAAGAGACAAAUUUUGAUUGGUUAAAUUAAACAAGUGAUAGAAAAUAGAGAGAGAGAAGAUACAAAGAAGAAGAAGAAGAAGAAGACGAGGAAAAGUCACGUUCGAAAAGAACGUGCGUGUACGAUCGAUGAGAAACGCAACAGGUUCUCGCAAUCUUUCCCCCUUUGACUAACUCUCUCGUCUUCGUCGAUCGUCGUCGAACUUCGUCUUCGUUUUCGUCUUCGUUUAUCUUCGCCUAACCACGUGAUCUAUCCCGAGGGAAAGAGAGAGAGAGAAAGAGAGAUAGAUACUAACUUCGUACUGGAAAGGGGAUAUGUAUCUUCUUUCUCUCGCAACGGGGUUUUACGGAAGAUAGGAGAGAUACAUUGUGAGUCUUAAGAGUAGUAGUAUUGUCGGAAAUUUUCGGAAUUUUACGUUAUUCGAUGAUGUUCAUCGUUUCCUUCGUCACCGGCGAAAAAGAGAAAAA